rnacentral:rRNA from 1 species
AUUGAACGCUGGCGGCAGGCCUAACACCUGCAAGUCGAGCGAGCGGCGGACGGGUGAGGAAUGUAAGGGAACUGCCCGAAAGCUGGGGAUAACUGCUGGAAACGGUAGCUAAUCCCGCAUACUAUCGGAUAACCCAUAUGGGAUUGGCUAGUAGGUGAGGGAAUGGCCAACCUAGGCGACGAUCCCUAGCUGGUCUGAGAGGAUGAUCCGCCACACUGGGAGUGAGACACGUCCCAGACUCCGACGGAGGCAGCAGUGGGGAAUAUUGCACAAUGGGCGCAAGCCUGAUGCAGCCAUGCCGCGUGUAUGAAGAAGGCCCUAGGGUUGUAAAGUACUUUCAGUCGGGAGGCGUUACCGACAGAAGAAGCACCGGCUAACUCCGUGCCAGCCGCCGCGGUAAUAC